GACUUCCGGCUUCCCUGCUCCCACAAAAUGACGCCAAAUUCCAGCGAAACAGCUGAUGCCAGCCAGCUUGAAGACCCCUGCCACAGAAGAAGGGAAUCAGCAUGAGAAUACAGCUUCUUCAUCUCGCUGUCCCAUGACUUCGCCCUGUACUCUUCAGCCAAUUAAUGAUCUCCACACUUGGGACCACUCUAAAACCCUUAAGAACCUGAGACUCAAAGUCCUCCUGGAGACGAAUUUGAGGUUUCCUCCUAUCUGUGUUUGGUGGCCCUAUGAUUAAACCUCUUUCUCUUCUGCAACCUGGUGUCCCAGUGUAUUAACUUGCCAUGGGCAUCAGACAACAAACCUAUAUAUAGUAUCCCAAAUAUGGUGCUCCACUUUGAAACCUGAAGAAAUCCUGCAAUUGAGUUAGCCUUUUGAAAUAAAAAUUAUUUCAAAUUUUAAAAUAUUUAUA
rnacentral:lncRNA from 1 species